UACGGGGGGGGCAAGCGUUGUUCGGAAUUACUGGGCGUAAAGGGUUCGUAGGUGGCUCGCUAAGUCAGACGUGAAAUCCCUCAGCUUAACUGGGGAACUGCGUCUGAGACUGGCGAGCUCGAGUGCAGGAGAGGAACGCGGAAUUCCAGGUGUAGCGGUGAAAUGCGUAGAUAUCUGGAGGAACACCGGUGGCGAAGGCGGCGUUCUGGACUGCAACUGACACUGAGGGAACGAAAGCCAGGGGAGCAAACGGG
rnacentral:rRNA from 1 species